GUAGUUUUUGGACAAACUUGAAUCAGCUUAGGCAGGCAAGAUGUUUCCCACUUUAACAGCUGUCUUGUUCUUAGUGCUUAUAAGCGUCACUACGACAAGCGGUUGCAGACAAUGUACAGUCAAUGGGCAGCAAUAUAGGGGAAAUUCCCGCUUUCAGUUUACAAACGGCUGUUCGCGUUAUAAUUGUAUGUGUAACUGUGAUGGUAGCUGGAACUGCCCUGCUGAAGAUACAACGAACGACUGUACUGGAUCAAACAAUGGCGGUUAUAAUACGAACUGCAGACAAUGUCAACUCAGCGGACAAACAUACGCGGGAAACACCCAGUUCUCAUAUACCGAUGGCUGUUACCGGUUUAACUGUGACUGCCGCUGUGACGGAAGUUGGACUUGCCCGGGAAGCAGAACACAAAACCUUUGCGGAUAAAUGAUAAUUUGUCAUUAAAUUGCAUUUGAUUGAAGGUUGAUUUUGA